UACGGAGGGUGCGAGCGUUAAUCGGAAUAACUGGGCGUAAAGGGCACGCAGGCGGGCUUUUAAGUGAGGUGUGAAAUCCCCGGGCUUAACCUGGGAAUAGCAUUUCAGACUGGGAGUCUAGAGUGCUUUAGGGAGGGGUAGAAUUCCACGUGUAGCGGUGAAAUGCGUAGAGAUGUGGAGGAAUUCCGAAGGCGAAGGCAGCCCCUUGGGAAUGUACUGACGCUCUUGUGCGUAAGCGCGGGGAGCAAACAGG
rnacentral:rRNA from 1 species